CAGCAGCCACGGUAAUACAGAGGGUGCGAGCGUUAAUCGGAUUUACUGGGCGUAAAGCGUGCGUAGGCGGCUUCUUAAGUCGGAUGUGAAAUCCCUGAGCUUAACUUGGGAAUUGCAUUCGAUACUGGGAAGCUAGAGUAUGGGAGAGGAUGGUAGAAUUCCAGGUGUAGCGGUGAAAUGCGUAGAGAUCUGGAGGAAUACCGAUGGCGAAGGCAGCCAUCUGGCCUAAUACUGACGCUGAGGUACGAAAGCAUGGGGAGCAAACAGGAUUAGAUACCCCAGUAGUCCCUGUCUCUUAUAC
rnacentral:rRNA from 1 species